CAAGUAGGGACACGGCAAUGGAAACACAGCAUCUGCACAACCCGAAACUAACUCACAGUGCCAUGCUGUAGUUGGGGAAAGUCCAAGAUUUUUGACUCGUUCCAUCGUUACAUUGCUUAUGGUAAUAUUUGCAAUGUAUCCCCCUCUUCCCUUGUCGGUUUUUAUACGGACCCCAGCUGCUGAAUUCCAAACAUGCAUAUCUUCGAUAGUGACGUUAAAAAUCCCUCCAGACAUCUCAC